AAGGCCUGACCUCGCUCAAGACCCAGGGACCGGACGGAUGCUGCAGAGUGAGGUGGGAAUCCCACUCUGUCCAUUGCAGUCCUGCUAAGUGGGAGAGGAAUGUAGGGAAGAGCGAUGUUUAAGUCAAUAAGCGAUAAGCAAUGACAGCAUUUUAACACAAUCCAGAUGUGAGGGCAGGCCUGCCGGAGGAGCCCCAGCUUAACCUCCGGGCUGUGGAGUGGCGGGCAUCUCCCAGAUCUGUUCACCAUCUACCCUCCUCCCGGUACCCAACAGAGCAGGCGGAUGGAUGGAGGAGAAAGUGUCGGAGUCGACAGAUACCGGAGGGAUAGUGUCUCUCAGCAGCAGUCCUUUAAGAUGGAGUUGAACUCAAUACUGAGACUCUGGAUGUGACCUCUAGAGACCAUGAUCCUUUCCAUCCAGAACCUCCUCAUUUGGAGCAUAUCUUGGAGGGUGAGCUGUCCAAGAGAAAGAAACUGGGAUGUGGAGAGCAGAAAAGGUUUGCCCAAAGUCACACAGCCAGUGAUCUGUGGUCUUGGUGAUCCAGACUCUAUGACUCUUCUGUAGGGAUCUUCCAUGAAGUACUAAUGGAGACUCAAGAGGCCAAGACUGAACUGGAGCAUAUACAGAAGGUUCUCGUAGGUGAUCCCUUAGGUUCUUGCCUUUCUGUGGCCCUUCAGCAACUGCAUCCUCUGGUUUGAGAAGCUGCUGGGGCUGUGGAUGCCAUGCUGGCCUGGGGUGGAGGCAAGAAGGCACUGAAGGUCGAACCACUCCAGCUCUUGGAGGCUGCUUGCUCAUCCGUAACAGGGAGAUGAUAACAGCUGUAAUAGCUACACUCCCAGAGAAGUCUGUCGCCUCUAAGGUCUGUCCAAACUCAAAAGCCCAAUGAAAUAUUUCAGCAAUCAAUGCUGGAGUCUAAAUCCUGUCCAAGCAGAGCCGUGGAUUUAGACUAGCCUUAUCUACCAAGGUUACUGAAAGGCGGGACUCUCCCUUCCUUCGGGGCCACUUCCUCCCACUCUAUGGCUCCCCCCUCCUCUCUAAGCUGACUACAUUUUUUAUCUACCCCAUCUGGGGCUGGUCCCCCAAUAAACUCAUUUACAUCAACGCGUUAA